rnacentral:rRNA from 1 species
GACGAAGGGGGCUAGCGUUGUUCGGAAUUACUGGGCGUAAAGCGCGUGUAGGCGGUUGUUCAAGUCGGGUGUGAAAGCCUUGGGCUCAACCCAAGAAAUGCACUCGAUACUGGAUGACUCGAGAACCGGAGAGGAUAGUGGAAUUCCCAGUGUAGUGGUGAAAUGCGUAGAUAUCGAGAGGAACACCAGUGGCGAAGGCGAGUCCCUGGACAAUACCUGACACUGAGGCACGAAAGCCGGGGGAGCAAACAGG